GGCAGAUGAUGGCUGUUGCCACUGUGGGCAGCACUGAUAAUGCCAAUGGCUUAGCUGAUGCCAGGAG